rnacentral:lncRNA from 12 species
AUCGGUGUCAGUGUGACUUUUGAAAAAAAACGCAACCCUCCCCCAAUGUUUUCUAAGAAACGAAAAUGCCACGUACACAACGGACUUAUCUUUCUUGGCAGAGCCUGGCUUCUAAGUUUUUGCCUCCUGAGCAAAACUAAACACUCUAGUCCUACACAGAUCUAACUCACCGCUACCAUCCUGGCUGCCCGCGAUGAGAUGAAGGGACCCAAAACUUGUGCAGCUCCUGAGAGCUAGAAAUGCAAAAUCUCCGGCCCCACCUCAGACCUACAGAGUCAGAAUCUGCAUUUUAGCCUUUCCAGGUGAUUCCUACACCGCUGAGAACUUGAGAAGCAUUGUCUGGCCUCACUCACUGGUGAUUUCCUGAUGCUGAGGAUCUCUGCACUGGUCCAUACCACCAUUGGAGCCUAUUUUCAUGGAUUUCUCUUGGGCGAGUCUUAAAGAGAGAUCUACAUCUGAACUUGAAUAUCAACAAUGAAGUCUGACACAUGGUUGCUGCUGAGCCUCUGGAGAAGCAAGACCAUUGGACAAACAGUCUUGCCAAGUUGCAAAAGGAAGAUGGGCGACCAGGUGGCUUGGUCUCCUUGCAGUCAUGCAAAGAGUUGCAGCAGUUUACAGGCUAUCUCAGGCUGUAGAUGCCCUAGAUAAUACCGGUGACAUCUUGUAAAGGAAAGGAAUCUGCCAAGGGCUCGCGGUGGAGGCUGGGCUAUAUUUGUUUGCUUCGGCUGCCAUCACAAAGGACCACACACUGGAUAGCUUAAAAUAAUAGAACAUUAUUGCCUCAUAAUUCUGGAGGCUGGAAGUCCAGGAUCGAGGUUGCAGGGUUGAUUCCUUCUGAGGGCUGUAGGGAGAAUCUGUUUGUGCCUCUGCCUUCGCUUCUGGUGAUUUGCUGGCGAUCUUUGGCCUUCUUGGAUUCUAGAAGCAUCACCCCAGUCUCUGCCUUCCUCUUCCCAAGGCAACUGUGGGUGUGUGUGUCUGUCUGUAGAUCCAAGUUACCUGUUUGUAUAAGGACACAAGUCAUAUUGGAUUAGUGCCCACCCUAAUGACCUUAACUCGGUCAUUUGCAAAGAGCUUAUUUCCAAAUAA